CCUACGGGCGGCAGCAGUGAGGAAUUUUGGUCAAUGGACGAGAGUCUGACGCAGCGACGUAGCGUGAAGGAUGAAUGCCCUAUGGGUUGUAAACUUCUUUUAUAAGGGAAUAAAACGAGGCACGUGUGCCUUUUUGCAUGUACUUUAUGUAUAAGGAUCGGCUCACUCAGUGCCGGCCGCCGCGGUAAUACGGUGGGUCCGAGGGUUAUCCGGAUUUAUUGGGUUUAAAGGGAACGUAGGUGGGGUGUUAAGUCAGUUGUGAAAGUAUGCGGCUCAACCGUAAAAUUGCAAUUGAUACUGGCAGUCUAGAGUAUAGGUGAGGUAAGCGGAAUUCGUGGUGUAGCGGUGAAAUGCGUAGAUAUCACGAAGAACCCCGAUAGCGAAGGCAGCUAACUAAACUGUGACUGACACUGAUGCGCGAAAGUGUGGGUAGCAAACAGGAUUAGAUACCCCUGUAGUC
rnacentral:rRNA from 1 species